rfam:Ophiophagus hannah scaffold302.1, whole genome shotgun sequence.
UUUUCUCCUCCCACAGGAUAUGAGUAACUCUUAUUGAAAUCAUGAGGCAGUUUAUUAUUCACAUCUUGUGGUAAGGGAGUA